rnacentral:rRNA from 1 species
GAUGAACGCUGGCGGCGUGCCUAAUACAUGCAAGUCGAACGCAUUGUGGUUGAAAUGAUAUGAAGAACUUGUUCAGAUUUGAUUUUCAACAUUGCAAUGAGUGGCGAACGGGUGAGUAACACGUGGGAAACCUACCUCUUAGCAGGGGAUAACAUUUGGAAACAAAUGCUAAUACCAUAUAAUAAUUAAAACCGCAUGGUUUUAGUUUAAAAGAUGGUCUUGCUAUCACUAAGAGAUGGUCCCGCGGUGUAUUAGUUAGUUGGGUGAGGUAAAUGGCUCACCAAGACAAUGAUACAUAGCCGAGUUGAGAGACUGACCGGCACAAUGGGACUGAGACAGGCCCAUACUCCUACGGAGGCAGCAGUAGGGAAGUCUUCCACAAUGGACGAAAGUACUGAU